rnacentral:rRNA from 1 species
GAUGAACGCUGGCGGCGUGCCUAAUACAUGCAAGUCGAGCGAAUGGAUUAAGAGCUUGCUCUUAUGAAGUUAGCGGCGGACGGGUGAGUAACACGUGGGUAACCUGCCCAUAAGACUGGGAUAACUCCGGGAAACCGGGGCUAAUACCGGAUAAUAUUUUGAACUGCAUGGUUCAAAAUUGAAAGGCGGCUUCGGCUGUCACUUAUGGAUGGACCCGCGUCGCAUUAGCGAGUUGGUGAGGUAACGGCUCACCAAGGCAACGAUGCGUAGCCGACCUGAGAGGGUGAUCGGCCACACUGGGACUGAGACAUGGCCCAGACUCCUACGGGAGGCAGCAGUAGGGAAUCUUCCGCAAUGGACGAAAGUCUGACGGAGCAACGCCGCGUGAGUGAUGAAGGCUUUCGGGUCGUAAAACUCUGUUGUUAGGGAAGAACAAGUGCUAGUUGAAUAAGCUGGCACCUUGACGGUACCUAACCAGAAAGCCACGGCUAACUACGUGCCAGCCGCCGCAGUAAAAC